GGCGAGUGAGCGGCACAGCUCAAAUUUGAAAUCUGGCGCAAGCCCGAGUUGUAAUUUGCAGAGGAUGCUUUUGGUGCGGUGCCUUCUGAGUUCCCUGGAACGGGACGCCGGAGAGGGUGAGAGCCCCGUACAGUUGGACACCAAGCCUUUGUAAAGCUCCUUCGACGAGUCGAGUAGUUUGGGAAUGCUGCUCAAAAUGGGAGGUAAAUGCCUUCUAAAGCUAAAUACCGGCCAGAGACCGAUAGCGCACAAGUAGAGUGAUCGAAAGAUGAAAAGCACUUUGAAAAGAGGGUUAAAAAGUACGUGAAAUUGUUGAAAGGGAAGCGCUCGUGACCAGACUUGCGCCCGGCGGAUCAUCCGGCCUUCUGGCCGGUGCACUCCGCCGGGCUCAGGCCAGCAUCGGUUCUUCCGGGGGGACAAAAGCGGUGGGAACGUAGCUCCUCCGGGAGUGUUAUAGCCCGCCGCAGAAUACCCCCGGGGGGACCGAGGACCGCGCUUCGGCAAGGAUGCUGGCGUAAUGGUCACCAGCGACCCGUCUUGAAACACGGACCAAGGAGUCAAGCAUUAGGGCGAGUGUUUGGGUGUCAAACCCGCACGCGAAAUGAAAGUGAACGCAGGUGAGAGCUUCGGCGCAUCAUCGACCGAUCCUGAUGUUUUCGGAUGGAUUUGAGUAAGAGCCUUGCCGCUUGGACCCGAAAGAUGGUGAACUAUGCUUGGAUAGGGUGAAGCCAGAGGAAACUCUGGUGGAGGCUCGCAGCGGUUCUGACGUGCAAAUCGAUCGUCAAAUCUGAGCAUGGGGGCGAAAGACUAAUC
rnacentral:rRNA from 1 species